AACGAACGCUGGCGGCACGUUUUAAGCAUGCAAGUCGAAUGGCAGUGGGGGCAACCCCAUGAGAAUGGCGAACGGGUGAGUAACACGUAGGUGAUCUGCCGGACGGAUGGGGAUAGCUUGUGGAAACACAGGGUAAUACCGAAUGAGCUGACGAGACUUUGGUUUUGUUAGUAAAGGUGCUACGGCACCGCCGACAGAGGAGCCUGCGGCUGAUUAGCUAGUUGGUGGGGUAAAGGCCUACCAAGGCGACGACCAGUAGCCGGCCGGAGGGGGUGUACGGCCACACUGGAACUGAGACACUGUCCAGACGCCUACGGGAGGCAGCAGCUAAGAAUCUUCCGCAAUGGGCGAAAGCCUGACGGAGCGAUGCCGCGUGAUCGAUGAAGGUCGAGAGAUUGUAAAGAUCUUUUCUACAUGAGGAAUAAGUCUGGGAGGGAAUGCCUGGAUGAUGACGUUAGUGUAGGAAUAAGCCCCGGCUAAUUACGUGCCAGCAGCCGCGGUAA
rnacentral:rRNA from 1 species